CUGGACACCAAUUAUGUCUUCGGACAACGGAGACGACGAUGAAAACAUCAUACCAUUAUACAAUGCGGUCAUAUAAAAAUGCAUGCAUGAUACAAAAUUGAUGGAAAGGUCAUAAAUGCAGAUACUAACAUCUUGUAACUACUUCCAUUUGCUGUUUCGAAUUUUGUUUCCAUUAGGUGCAGCAAACGUCUGCUAAAGUGCAGAAUGUGUCUUUUAGACCUGAUUAAGAUAGAUUUGGUGUCUUCCACAAUAGGGGCUUGAAAUGAAGGUUAAACUAUAUAUAACUAAUAUCAAAACAAUAUCUUCAAGCAUGAAGAGAAAAAAAUGUGUCUUAGUUGACUGUUGAAGAUCUGAUACAUAGUUACCUUUAAGGGUCAGUUUGUAUCUGUUGACAGUUAAGCUUAUUAUAAAUAAGCUACGUUCCUUUGAGGGUCAGUGUCUCCUUUGACAUUUAAGAUAAUGGUUGUACUCUUUAUAUGAUACUGUUUGUGACUAAGCUACUUCUCACAAUUAAAGUAAUCGAAAUCUCUGAUGGAAAAAGUGAGAGUUGUAUGCAUGCAUAAUUUUAAACAUAUUCUCAUGUAUCCUGGUGAGAAAAAAACCUUGGUAUAUCACUCUUACAUUUAAUUCAGAAAGAUAAUUGUUUCCCUAAAUUUGCUUUUAAUAGGUUGCAUUUGUAGUCCGGCCGAUUGGUGCAGAUAUAGAGCAGAAUUGCUCACUUGAUGAGGAAAGCAUGAAACUUUGCAUAGUAGUUCUUGGUUAUUACCCUUUGAUUUUCAGCUAUGGACCCACUCUGAAAAAUCCAAUAUGGCUGCCAUUUUCAAGAUGGCGGAAAAACGGUAUAAAUAUCAAGAUUGUCCUAAAGGUAUUC
rnacentral:lncRNA from 1 species